ACUACGUGCCAGCAGCCGCGGUAAUAAGUAGGUGGCAAGCGUUGUCCGGAUUUUACUGGGUGUAAAGGGCGUGCAGCCGGGCAUGCAAGUCAGAUGUGAAAUCUCAGGGCUCAACCCUGAAACUGCAUUUGAAACUGUAUGUCUUGAGUGCCGGAGAGGUAAUCGGAAUUCCUUGUGUAGCGGUGAAAUGCGUAGAUAUAAGGAAGAACACCAGUGGCGAAGGCGGAUUACUGGACGGUAACUGACGGUGAGGCGCGAAAGCGUGGGGAGCAAACAGGAUUAGAUACCCUGGUAGUCCACGCUGUAAACGAUCAAUACUAGGUGUGCGGGGACUGACCCCCUGCG
rnacentral:rRNA from 1 species